UACGUAGGGUGCAAGCGUUAAUCGGAAUUACUGGGCGUAAAGCGUGCGCAGGCGGUUCGCUAAGACAGAUGUGAAAUCCCCGGGCUUAACCUGGGAACUGCAUUUGUGACUGGCGGGCUAGAGUAUGGCAGAGGGGGGGUAGAAUUCCACGUGUAGCAGUGAAAUGCGUAGAGAUGUGGAGGAAUACCGAUGGCGAAGGCAGCCCCCCUGGGCCAAUACUGACGCCUCAUGCACGAAAGCGUGGGGAGCAAACAGG
rnacentral:rRNA from 1 species